rnacentral:rRNA from 1 species
GACGAACGCUGUCGGCGUGCUUAACACACGCAAGUCGAACGGAAAGGCCCUGCUUUUGUGGGGUGCUCGAGUGGCGAACGGGUGAGUAACACGUGAGUAACCUGCCCUUGACUUUGGGAUAACUUCAGGAAACUGGGGCUAAUACCGGAUAGGAGCUCCUGCUGCAUGGUGGGGGUUGGAAAGUUUCGGCGGUUGGGGAUGGACUCGCGGCUUAUCAGCUUGUUGGUGGGGUAGUGGCUUACCAAGGCUUUGACGGGUAGCCGGCCUGAGAGGGUGACCGGCCACAUUGGGACUGAGAUACGGCCCAGACUCCUACGGGAGGCAGCAGUGGGGAAUAUUGCACAAUGGGCGGAAGCCUGAUGCAGCAACGCCGCGUGCGGGAUGACGGCCUUCGGGUUGUAAACCGCUUUCGCCUGUGACGAAGCGUGAGUGACGGUAAUGGGUAAAGAAGCACCGGCUAACUACGUGCCAGCAGCCGCGGUGAUACGUAGGGUGCGAGCGUUGUCCGGAUUUAUUGGGCGUAAAGGGCUCGUAGGUGGUUGAUCGCGUCGGAAGUGUAAUCUUGGGGCUUAACCCUGAGCGUGCUUUCGAUACGGGUUGACUUGAGGAAGGUAGGGGAGAAUGGAAUUCCUGGUGGAGCGGUGGAAUGCGCAGAUAUCAGGAGGAACACCAGUGGCGAAGGCGGUUCUCUGGGCCUUUCCUGACGCUGAGGAGCGAAAGCGUGGGGAGCGAACAGGCUUAGAUACCCUGGUAGUCCACGCUGUAAACGGUGGGUACUAGGUGUGGGGUCCAUUCCACGGGUUCCGUGCCGUAGCUAACGCUUUAAGUACCCCGCCUGGGGAGUACGGCCGCAAGGCUAAAACUCAAAGGAAUUGACGGGGCCCCGCACAAGCGGCGGAGCAUGCGGAUUAAUUCGAUGCAACGCGUAGAACCUUACCUGGGUUUGACAUGGAUCGGGAGUGCUCAGAGAUGGGUGUGCCUCUUUUGGGGUCGGUUCACAGGUGGUGCAUGGCUGUCGUCAGCUCGUGUCGUGAGAUGUUGGGUUAAGUCCCGCAACGAGCGCAACCCUUGUUCACUGUUGCCAGCACGUUAUGGUGGGGACUCAGUGGAGACCGCCGGGGUCAACUCGGAGGAAGGUGGGGAUGACGUCAAGUCAUCAUGCCCCUUAUGUCCAGGGCUUCACGCAUGCUACAAUGGCUGGUACAGAGAGUGGCGAGCCUGUGAGGGUGAGCGAAUCUCGGAAAGCCGGUCUCAGCUCGGAUUGGGGUCUGCAACUCGACCUCAUGAAGUCGGAGUCGCUAGUAAUCGCAGAUCAGCAACGCUGCGGUGAAUACGUUCCCGGG